GGGCACCUGCGGACUUCGGUCGAGGGGCCUAUACCACCGGGCACCUGCGGACAUCUGUCGAGGGGCCUUACCAGUGGCGGGCCAAACCCCGCCCUACAUAAGCCCCGGCAACGGGGCUGCUAGCUAACGGAAGACAGAAA
rfam:Antarctobacter heliothermus strain SMS3 chromosome, complete genome.